CAGUCUUACACUACAUUAGCAUAUUUUUGCAUCUAAUUUUAUAAACAAAUGCAAAACUCUAUAAUAAUGCAGUCUUGAGUGGCAAAUCUAAAACCAAAAAGUUAGGCAAUUCCUAAGCAUAAUAUACCUUGGGAUAAGAAUGGAAUAUGUCGUUAUAUAUAAUAAAACAGAUAUAUACACAAAUGAAAUAAAAUAGCUAAAAUUGUCAAGGGUUAACAUUAUUUCAAGUUAGUAAACACACAUAGUUUUUACUCCUCUUUAUACAGGACUGGUGAAAUUGCACAUUAAAAAUAAAAUAAACUUAGCUCUAGACCUGUAGAGCCUUUUUUUUUUUUUUUUUUUUUGCUUAAUAGAAAGGUGAAGAUAAGCAAAGUCAGAUAUAAAAAUAAAAUAAUUUAGAAUAUAUAAGUAUAUAUAAACAGGGACUAAGAAGAGUAUUGUAAAUGCAAGAACAAUAAUAUUGUGGACUGGAAAAUAACAGAAAACUUUAGGAGGUGAUUACUUGUUAGCUGGGGUUGUAAGAUGGAUAGAAAUUUGAUAAAGGUAGUUUAGAAUCACACUAGAUAGAAAACCCCAUGAGCAAGACCAAGGAAAGGAAAGGACAUUUGAAGGGAAACCAAUGAGUUAUAAAGAGGUGUUAGGAGAUGUAAUUGUGUAUUUUACAAAAAGACAUUAGCUUAAAUAAUUCUUAAGUCUCUAGAAUUUAGAUUUUUUUGAAGUAUGUAAUUUUAAGAUUGUAAGAAUUCUUCAUUUUAUGGUAUUCUCUUUUUAGUUAAGUCCUACACCCUUCAUUAGAGUUUAGCAAUAUACAUUUGACAAUCAGUUAAUCGUCCCCACAAAAUAUAAAUUCUUCCGUUGCUUUAUAAAUUCAUUUUAGCAUAUUUGCUUGUGUGACCAGAACUUUUACUAAAGAGGUCAGAUUUAUCAUCUUUAGUUCUCUUCAGAUGUGUCUUAUUUAUACUCACAUUGCUAUUCCUAACAAACAGUUGUGUGACACCCAGCUUUUUUUUUCAGCAUUUCAUUCUGCAAUGAUAACUGAGAAGUGUAUUUGGUAAUAACAGGUAUUGCCAUCUUCAUUUGUCUCAAGUACUAUUUUAUUGGCAUCUAUUGCAGUUUAAUGACCCAAACUUUGACAGUACUUGGAUGUGCUGUGUGGCAGGCAACACUUGGUGAGAAGGAAAGGUUAUCUGAUCUGCAGAAACAUGGAGAUGGGAAUUUUCCUUUAGGACAAGCUUUUCCAAAAGGGACAAGGACUCUAAUGGGAAUGUUUUCAAUGUUGUUUCUCAGUGCCCCUACAUAAUAGCGGGAAAAUAUUGAAUAAUACAGUUCAGUAAAGGUUCAUAUAUUUUAUGAGCAAUUUUAUCCUAGAAGUGCUGCUAUUUUUCAAAAUAGUAUUAUUGUUAGUCUUUGGGUGUGCUAGAAAACUGUGAAUAUGUCAAAAAAUGACACAGUCACUUUCACUUACAGUCUAAGGUACAUAAAAUCAAAUACUGAACAGAGGUAAAGUACACACAAUGACUGCAUUUAAUGAAGUUCAGUUGCUUUUCCCUUUACUUUGGACAGUGAGGGGAGAAGGUUUGAAGCAGAAUUUGCUUGAAGAAGAAAUGAGUUAGUAAAAUAGAAGAAAAUAAUUUAGAAUCAAGACUAAUGGACAUCUUAGAAGAAUGUGGUUUCAGUACACAUGUGGUAACCACUGGGGGAGAGGCAGGCAGUAUAACAAGUAAUAAAUGUAGAACCCAACCUUUUUUUCCCCCUCAGACUUCCUAAUUGAGUAAUGUGUAGAGAUAAUUUCAUUGUGUACCUCUAGGAAUUUAUUUUCUCAAGGCAAAUAGCUAUAAAAAUCUUUCAGGUUGUAAAGAAUUAUGCAUACACACAUAAAAAUAUUUUGUAGAGUUUGUUAUUUAAUUUAAUAGUGACAUUCACCAAAGAUUUGCAAUUCAAAAUGUUAUAGUCCUUUGCAGACUCUACCUUGACUGUAUUUCAAAGUUGUAUUGUGUAUAUGUGUGUAUGUAUUUAUGGAUAGAUAGAUGAUAGAUAGGUAGAUAUAUGGAUAGAUGGGUAGAUAGAAUAUAAAUAAAUGGCUUGUUUUGUUUCAAAUGUAUUCCCCACACUUAAUCUUGCUGUACUCUGUAUCAUUGGCCCCUGACCACACAAACUACAUUUUACUGGUUCUGUUGCCAAAAGACUUCUGCUAAGUUUAGCAAAUGGGAGGCACUGGUAGGAGAUUGGCUGUGAGAGCAAAUGAGCCAGGCUAUUUCUCUCAUCUCUGUGUUCUUCUGCAUUUCUGCCAUAGUCCCAGCUCUCCCAGGGCAGCCUCUCCUGUGAUGUAGUUCCUUUUGGGAAGCCUGACUCCCAGGCCCAUGAUAACAAUUUCUCCUCCCUUGGGUUCUAGAGAUUGCAGUACUUUUCUGCCCUUCCUAAUUCCAGAUCUACUUCAUUAUCUUCUGAAUCAUUUUCAGCUCUUCCAUCAUUAUGUAACUUCUUCCCUGGAUUAAAUUCCUUCUAAUAAACUAUCUGCCAUGGAUUCUAUUUUCCUGACUAUACUUAAACUGCUUUUGCAGGUUGGGCUCAGAAUUUUGAGUCUCUGUGUAAGUCUGGUCUACGACCAUUCCACCUUUAAAGUGGAUAUGAAGCCAUCAGACAGGUGCUAGUUUAGUAAACCCGACUUUCCUAGAUCUUUGUAUCACAAGGCAUGGCUUAUCCUCUGGUACCUAGACAUUAACCUUGCACCUUUUCAAGCAGAAACAGAAAUGCUCAUAUUCUCUUAUUCCUCACUACAAAUACUAAGAUGACUGGAGAAUCAAAUUGCUAACAUGCUUUACAAAAAAAAAAAAAAAAAAAAA
rnacentral:lncRNA from 1 species